CUUCCCAAUCUUAUCUCCGAUAAAGGUUUUCUUUUUUAAUUUACCACAAAGCACCAAAAACCUUAUUCUGCUCGGAUAUUUUCCCCACCCAAUGAACACAAAAAUACCCCCCCCCCCCCCCCGCCACCCCCGCCAUCGAAGCAGUACAGUCCUUGACCACAGCUCUCUAUUCUUCGGGGCUUUCCAUUAAAUCUCUAUUUUCAUCCUUUUAAAAAGAUCAGUGGAGAGGAGUUGCAAAGUUUAGGGGGAGAAAAGACUGUUCCACCUCGAAGGCCGGCAUUUCCUCACAACAGUGUCAAUGUCGUUGGCUGCCAGGAACAGUUCCCUUCAUCCUUCAAGACUCCUUCAAGAUUUAGAAGCCGACAUUUCCACUUUGGCAACUGCGAAGGAUCUGCGAGGUGAAAUCUCAUCCCAAGAUCAAAAGUUACCAAGAGUUCAGUGUUGAUUGGAUCAAUGUUUCUGAGUCACACAGUCCUGUUUUUGAGCCGACCCAGGAACCCAGAGUCAGCACCUCUGUAAGACUGACAGACAAUGCUCUCUGGACUUGACGGGGGCUAUUAGUCCUACAGCCAAAGGGUAAGUCGCUCAGAACUCAUGUAGUGUCACUGACAAUACAGUGGUUGUUAUCACAAAAUGUCCCCCAGAGCCACCCGCAUGGCAUAACACUGGUUCUGGGUGAACAAAGAUCUUUGCAAGGAGCUCUGCAGAAACAUUACAGAUAACCCAAACAGGAUUUCAGCAUGAAGUGUGAAUGGGCAAGCUAAUAAUAACUGUGGUAUAGGUUAAGCGCUUACUUUAUGUCAAGCACUGUAGUAAGCACUGGAGAAGCUGCGAGCUAAUCAGGUUGGACACAUUGUCACACAUGGAGCUUACAGUCUGUGAAUAGGCUCCAAGCAGCUCUCCUUUAUUUUUGACCAAGCUGACAACAAAACACUGCAUAGAGUUAGUCUAAGCCACCGAAAUUGCUUAGAGGGUAAUGACUCGGAGGUAAAAAGAAUACCCUCAGCAAACUUGAAGUCUUAUAAUAGAAAUCUGGGUUGUGUCAGGCAAACCCAGUUAAGGGACUUGCACCACAAAGGUUGCGAUAUCAAAGAUGAAAAGAUCCAAGGCCAUGAAGAUGAC
rnacentral:lncRNA from 1 species